UAUCUCUAGGCAAAUUUAACAGAUAACGUCUGACCUUAAUAGUAUAUAAAGAGCCCAUUUCAGUGCAGCAACAGCCUCAGACAAUUUCUGUCACAGAAGAUCCUGAGUAACUGCUGCGUCAGACUAAUAAGUAGUCCGUGGACCACUGCCGUUGAAUUCGCCGUCGAUAUCAUCCAGAAUUAUGAAGACCAUGUAUGGAGUUUUGCUGCUGAUGCUGCUCUCAGUUGCCUGGCUCUCUCAAGCUGAGAAAUUAUAUGUGGUUGAUUCAAUGGAGCCAAAGGACUGUACUGCCAAGAUGAAUGAAAUGGUCAACAGCGGACAGAAGGUCUGCUCCAAAUCAAAUACCUUCAUCGUCGCUACAAAUGAGGCCCUUGAUAAGUUUUGUCAGGGCCGUAGUGGCAAAUAUAGUGACAAAAUUACUAUAAAAAAUGUUCAUUGCAAACUUGAGAAAGGAAGCAAAUACCCUGAUUGUAAGUACGAAGGACAUACUCACUCAGACUUUUAUCUUGAGUGUGGUAAUAAUAAAGCUGUGGGAUUUCAACAUAAAAUGAAUUAAAUUAUUAAACAACAACUAUGUACUUUAACUUGUCUGACAUAAAAUCCAUCACUGAUGUCUGGUCACAUGAUUUCUUUCAAUCCAACUGUGUUAAUGUACAAGUUAAAUCUGUUACGGUAAAUAAAUUCAUUGCAUCCAAA